rnacentral:rRNA from 1 species
ACCUCGGCGAACUGCUCCCCCACACGUGGAUAAUUUGCCCUUAGGUGGAGGAUAACCUCGGGAAACUGAGAAUAAUACUCCNUAGAUCUAGGAUGCUGGAAUGCAUUUAGAUUAAAAGCUCCGGCGCCUAAGGAUAAGUCUGCGGACUAUCAGGUUGUAGUCAGGGUAAAGACCUGACUAGCCUACAACGGAUACGGGUUGUGAGAGCAAUAACCCGGAGACGAUAUCUGAGACACGAUAUCGGGCCCUACGGGGCGCAGCAGGCGCGAAACCUUCGCACUGUGCGAAAGCGCGAUGAGGGGAUCCCAAGUGCUUGCUCGUAAGAGUAAGCGGUUUUUAUGUCUAAAAAGCAUAGAGAGUAAGGGCUGGGUAAGACGGGUGCCAGCCGCCGCGGUAAUACCUGCAGCUCAAGUGGUGAUCAUUAUUAUUGGGCCUAAAACGUCCGUAGNCCGGUUUGGUAAUGCCUGGGUAAUCGUGUAGCUUAACUAUACGAAUNCCNGGGUAGACUGCCAAACUUGGGAA